GAGCCAUUACAGGUAGCUUUGAAGAUCAUAGAAAAGCUGGAAGAAAUGUAACACAAAUGGAAGGAUGAUAAAACGAGAGAGGAAAUUUUACAACAAAAAGAAAUUAUCCCAAGAAAGUGUGAAAUGAAAAAUAGAGAUACUGGGCAUGCCCGAAAAACAAAUAAUGUUUCCUUAUUUAGGGAAAGAAAAUUAUAUUAGUGAAAGCCUAAGAAAAAGCAAGGAGAGACAAUCAUCAUAUUUAGCUUCUCCUGAUACUACACAAAAUAACUCUCUGACACAUGUAAUCACUGAAAAUCAACCUCAGAAACAACGUGAACAAUGAAAAUAUAAAAAAUUUCUUUGUGAAAUAGGAUAUCUAAUAAUUUAUGUACUUUAAAAUUUUUGGUUCAAUUUAAUUAAAUCAUGAAAAGCAAAUUGACUAUACUCAUAAAAUUAAUAGAAUAUAUUCAUAAUAAAAUAUUUUCUUAGAAACA
rnacentral:lncRNA from 14 species